rnacentral:rRNA from 1 species
CUUGGAUGGACCUGCGGUGCAUUAGCUAGUUGGUAGGGGUAACGGCCUACCCAAGGCGAUGAUGCAUAGCCCGAGUUGAGAGACUGAUCGGCCACAUUGGGACUGAGACACGGCCCAAACUCCUACGGGAGGCAGCAGUAGGGAAUCUUCCACAAUGGACGCAAGUCUGAUGGAGCAACGCCGCGUGAGUGAAGAAGGGUUUCGGCUCGUAAAGCUCUGUUGUUGGUGAAGAAGGACAGGGGGUAGUAACUGACCUUUGUUUGACGGUAAUCAAUUAGAAAGUCACGGCUAACUACGUGCCAGCAGCCGCGGUAAU